rnacentral:tRNA from 1 species
CGGUGCGUGAGCGGGAUGCAGCAACGGGGCGGUUUCAGUCCGCGCGAGAUACGUGGGCCUGGAUCUGUUGUUCAAGGCCGCGUGCAUCGACC